rnacentral:rRNA from 1 species
UAAUACGGAGGGUGCAAGCGUUAAUCGGAAUUACUGGGCGUAAAGCGUACGCAGGCUGUCAAGUCAGUCAGAUGUGAAAGCCCCGGGCUUAACCUGGGAACUGCAUUUGAUACUGCUUGACUCGAAUCUGGUAGAGGGUAGUGGUAUUCCAUGUGUAGCGGUGAAAUGCGUAGAUAUGUGGAGGAACAUCAGUGGCGAAGGCGGCUACCUGGACCAAGAUUGACGCUGAGGUACGAAAGCGUGGGGAGCGAACAGGAUUAGAUACCCUGGUAGUCCACGCCGUAAACGAUGUCAACUAGUCGCUGGGUUCUUUAAUGGACUUAGUGACGCAGCUAACGCAGUAAGUUGACCGCCUGGGGAGUACGGCCGCAAGGCUA